rnacentral:rRNA from 1 species
AUUGAACGCUGGCGGCAUGCCUUACACAUGCAAGUCGAACGGCAGCACGGGAGCUUGCUCCUGGUGGCGAGUGGCGAACGGGUGAGUAAUGCAUCGGAACGUGCCCUGAAGUGGGGGAUAACGUAGCGAAAGUUACGCUAAUACCGCAUAUUCUGUGAGCAGGAAAGCAGGGGAUCUUCGGACCUUGCGCUUUUGGAGCGGCCGAUGUCGGAUUAGCUAGUUGGUGGGUAAAGGCCCACCAAGGCGACGAUCCGUAGCGGGUCUGAGAGGAUGAUCCGCCACACUGGAACUGAGACACGGUCCAGACUCCUACGGGAGGCAGCAGUGGGGAAUUUUGGACAAUGGGCGCAAGCCUGAUCCAGCCAUGCCGCGUGAGUGAAGAAGGCCUCGGUGUAAG